rnacentral:SRP_RNA from 1 species
GCCGGGCUCGGUGACAUGUGCCUGUAGUCCCAGCUACUCAGGAGGCUGAGGUGGGAGGAUCACUUGAGCCCAGGAGUUCUGGGCUGUAGUAUGAUAUGACGAUUGGGUGUCCACACCAAGUUUGGCAUUAUUAUGGUGACUUCCUGGGAGUGGGGGACCACCAGGUUGCCUAAGGAGGGGUGAACCAGCCCAGGUUGGAAAUGGAGCAGGUCAAAACUCCUGUGCCACUGCACUCCAGCCUGGGCAACAUAGAGAGACUCAGUCUCU